CUUAGAGAACCCUUGUUAUUAUUCGGGAAGGAGAAGAGAAUUCCCUUAAACAAUUCUGAUUGGAAUGAGAAUAUAGACAUAUACAAAAUAGCAGGGAUGGAUACGAGGAGGUGGGUCCCCUCCUCUCCCCAUUGUUAUCCCUGGACAUGUUCUAAUUUUUUAUAUACAGCUGUCGUUCGUGACCGAUGGUAAUUAAGAUUAAAAUAAUUUAUCUUACAUUAGAUACGGAUCAAAUGUAGCCAGAAUGCCAAAAUGAUGAUUAAUUAAUUAACGUUUGAUGACACCAUCCUACAAAUGAUGAUAAAUUAUUAUCUGUUUUAAAGGAAAGUAAUAAUUUUUGUUUGGGGAAACUCUGGGUGGUAAAGGGGGCCAAUAAUUCAGUGACACGAGAUGAAUAAAGUCAGCUAAGUGAAGUCAAUUCGUUUGACCAAAUGACAAUCUCAAAGGUUAGAAGAUAAGCCCCAUCAGGAAAAACAAUAGUUCUAGUAAAUAUAAAUAAAAAAUUUCUUGAGCAAAGCAAUAGGAGGGACCAUGUCGGUUGUUUUUUGCUAUCCUCUACAAAGUAGCAGGAUCAUUGCUCGAGCUUCCUCCACAUGGCAAAAAGUGAGGACCACAAGAGGGAUAAAGGAAUUUGUUGCUCGCCAAGCUUACUUGGUCAAUACCAAGUGAACAAAAGAAAAUGACAAAAAUAGCCCCACUUAAGAAAGGCAGCACCAAUAGAAAAUAUCCAUGUGGCAAAAAUGAUGAAAAUGCGCCUAAGGCACCUGUACUAUAAAUUCAGCUCAAGACACAAGACAAAUGGAUUAUUUCAGAUCUGAUUUCUUGCUUGAAAGACUGCUUUAUCUUCUUCUUCUUUCUCUAUUUUUACACCUCCAUGGAAGAUUUUGGCCAUCUCAUCUCUCAUGGAAGAUUUUUCCUUUUUCUUUUCUUAAAAACUCCCUAAUCUCCAUAAAAUAUACAUCAUCUUCAUCUUAUUACUCAAUAUAAACAACAUUUAAUAAGGUUUUGUUGAUAUUGCAAAGUAAAUCAUGUAAUACUUCAUAUACAUAGUGGAUUGGAGAUGAUUACUCCUGCAAAUGUAGGACAAAGGGUCGAACCAAAUAAAAGCUUGUAUGUUCUUUAUUAUUUAUACUUAUUUUUUGCUUAUUAUGUCCAUAGAUAAGCUUUCUAGAUCUAUCCUAGAAUUCACCAAAGUCAUCCCCUGAGCUCUUUUAAGGUCUUCAUGUUAAAUCUCAAAAUUAACUCUCACGAUCUUUAGUAAGUUCUCUAUAUCAGUUCACCUCCCAAAUCACCUUAGUUCACCUUUCAAAUUAUCUCAUAACAAGCCUAUAAAGAUAGGGUGACCCUAAGUUACGUUAAGUGUAUCUUAUGUUUUCUGUCUUUUUCUUCUGGCAAUUUUCAUACAAGUCCUUAUUUUUAUUACUUUUAUAUUUAAGGAUGCAUUUGCCUUCUUCUAUCACUUAUACACCUAUUUUUCAUUCUUUCUAAUGUUUUCUUUAUUUCUUUAAACAACAAUGUAUGGUUAUCAAAUUUAUAUAAAUCUGUAAAUUCAGAAUAAAUUUCUAGUCCUAAAUUUAUUAUUCCCAUUCUUUCUUGUUCUAACAGUUCUAUUUUUUGGGUUAUUUGAUUUAUAUAGCUUGUUAUAAUAUUUUCCUAGCCUAGAUUCAUGUGAUCUAUAGUUUCUGCUAAAUUAUGUAUCACAUUAAAAGCAUGUUGGUUCAUGGUAGUGCUUCUUUUUUGUACUAGUAUACUAAAAACUUUAUAAAUUCAUCUAUGAAUUUCAUUUUCUUUUCUAUUAAAAUCUCACCUCCUACAGUAUCUAUAUUUCUUUCUUGUAAUUCUUGAGUUAAUUCAAGCUCGAUAUUUCGGAUGUUAUUCUUCUCAGAUUUUAUAGACAUUAUUAAAUUUUUUAUUUCUUCUUUCUCAAAUACUUUUAAAGUAUAUAAACUCUCUAUUAUAUUUUUUAUAGGAUCCAUGGCUCUGAUACCAUUUUAUGGGUAGAUAAAAAAAAACCAAAAAACACAAUAAAAUAAAUAAAUUAAAAAACAAAAAGAAAACAAAAACCAAUUAAGUCAACAAAAUUAAACAAAACAAAUAAAUAAAUAAUAUUAAGUAGUUGAAUCAAACUAUUCGGAUAAUAGAAUUUUGAUGCAAAAAUUCUAAAAGAUAUAUCUAUUUUAUGUCUUUAUUAUUAUUAUUAUUCAUCUAAAAGAAUAUAUCUAUCAUAUCUUAUAUUAUCAUUAUUUCUUAAAUAUAAGGCUAUAACUUCUUCCCCAUUAAUUAUACUAGGUAUAUUUCCGGGAAAACUAGGAACAUAAAAAUCAUAAUAAUUAUUAUGAGUUUCUAUAAUAUAUGUAGGGUUAUUAAUCUGAUUUAAAAUUUCUAAAUUAUAAGAUAUGUAAGAUAUGUUUACUGGAUAACAGAAUAUUUCUAAUUUUAUGAAAUAUAUAUUAUUAUUUAUUAUAUUAGUAUAAUAUCUUGUUUCCCUGUAUGUGUUCAUGAUUACAGAAUAUUAUACCGACUUAAGGUCUUAUAUUUCUAGUUCUUCAUUAUCUGAAUUAUCUAUAUAUUCUAUGUAUGAGGGGUCUAUUCUUAAACUUUCAUUUUCUAUUUUAGCUUUAAUUAUAUCAAUAGUUUCAUCUAUAGUUAACAUUGUGAUUAAGUGUUUUAGAUUAUCUAUUUCUAAAAUGUUUAAAAUUCUUCGUUUUAUUUCUGGUGGUAAUUCUAGUGUAUAUAUAGCUUCUAUCUCUUCUUUACUAAUAAGUUCUUCUUUGCUAAAUAUGUAUGAACUUUACUUAAAAGAUUCAAGAUUAAAAUCUAUUAUCAUCAUGUAGUUAUUAUAUGUUAUCCUAGUUGUAGGAUUUAUCAUUUUUUCUUUUGGAUUUCCACGUCCUAAUCUAACACUCAUAUUUUGAUAAACACUCAUUUUCCUUAUUUUUAACAAUUUUGAUUAAUGAUUUGAAUAAGAUUCACUUCUGAGAGAUGCUCAUCCACCAUCAAUCUCUUCAUCUACAAUCAUUACCAAACUUCCACCAUGAGAUAAGGUUAGAGAAUUAUUACCUAAGUUAUCCUUUUUUCUUCGUCUUAAGAUCUGUCUCCAGUGACCUGCAGCCUAUGCGUCCUUCAUUCCCUCAACGGCCUCCUGCCUUAACGGGAUCAAGCGGACUCCAAUGGCCUUUCUGUAUGGAUCUUGAUCUUCUUUCUUAGAAAUAAAGAUAAUUUUAGGUUUCUCUUUCCUUUCUAUGGGGUUGUUUGUUUUCCUUUCUAUGGGAUAAUUUUAGGUUUCUCUUUCCUUUCUAUGGGGUUGUUUGUUUAUGAUUGAUGAUGUAUUGAUUUCUGGUUUCGAGCUUAAGAGAAUUUAGCUAUUCAUUUUUCAGAGAGUUGUUUCCUCCAAAAAAAAUAUUGCCAAAGUGAAGUAUGGUGUGUAAUCUGAGCCUCUUGCUCUUUCCUCUUUCUUUUUAUUUCAAAACUUUUGUUUCGAGAUUACAUUCUUGCCCUUUUGGCUUUUUUCAAUUAGUACAAAUGCU
rnacentral:lncRNA from 1 species